GAUGAACGCUAGCUACAGGCUUAACACAUGCAAGUCGAGGGGAAACGAUAUUGGAAGCUUGCUUCCGAUAGGCGUCGACCGGCGCACGGGUGAGUAACGCGUAUCCAACCUACCCACCACUUGGGGAUAACCUUGCGAAAGUAAGCUUAAUCCCCAAUGAUAUCUCUAGAAGACCUCUGAAAGAGAUUAAAGAUUUAUCGGUGAUGGAUGGGGAUGCGUCUGAUUAGCUUGUUGGCGGGGUAAUGGCCCACCAGGGCUACGAUCAGUAGGGGUUCUGAGAGAAAGGUCCCCCACAUUGGAACUGAGACACGGUCCAAACUCCUACGGGAGGCAGCAGUGAGUAAUAUUGGUCAAUGGACGGGAGCCUGAACCAGCCAAGUAGCGUGCAGGAUGACGGCCCUAUGGGUUGUAAACUGCUUUUAUAAGGGAAUAAAGUGAGUCUCGUGAGACUUUUUGCAUGUACCUUAUGAAUAAGGACCGGCUAAUUCCGUGCCAGCCGCCGCCGUAA
rnacentral:rRNA from 1 species